rnacentral:rRNA from 1 species
ACGCUGGCGGCGUGCCUAAUACAUGCAAGUAGAACGCUGAAGGAGGAGCUUGCUUCUCUGGAUGAGUUGCGAACGGGUGAGUAACGCGUAGGUAACCUGCCUGGUAGCGGGGGAUAACUAUUGGAAACGAUAGCUAAUACCGCAUAAUAGUAGAUGUUGCAUGACAUUUGCUUAAAGGGUGCAAUUGCAUCACUACCAGAUGGACCUGCGUUGUAUUAGCUAGUUGGUGGGGUAACGGCUCACCAAGGCGACGAUACAUAGCCGACCUGAGAGGGUGAUCGGCCACACUGGGACUGAGAUACGGCCCAGACUCCUACGGGAGGCAGCAGUAGGGAAUUUUCGGCAAUGGACGGAAGUCUGACCGAGCAACGCCGCGUGAGUGAAGAAGGUUUUCGGAUCGUAAAGCUCUGUUGUAAGAGAAGAACGAGUGUGAGAGUGGAAAGUUCACACUGUGACGGUAUCUUACCAGAAAGGGACGGCUAACUACGUGCCAGCAGCCGCGGUAAUACGUAGGUCCCGAGCGUUGUCCGGAUUUAUUGGGCGUAAAGCGAGCGCAGGCGGUUAGAUAAGUCUGAAGUUAAAGGCUGUGGCUUAACCAUAGUACGCUUUGGAAACUGUUUAACUUGAGUGCAAGAGGGGAGAGUGGAAUUCCAUGUGUAGCGGUGAAAUGCGUAGAUAUAUGGAGGAACACCGGUGGCGAAAGCGGCUCUCUGGCUUGUAACUGACGCUGAGGCUCGAAAGCGUGGGGAGCAAACAGGAUUAGAUACCCUGGUAGUCCACGCCGUAAACGAUGAGUGCUAGGUGUAGACCCUUUCCGGGGUUUAGUGCCGUAGCUAACGCAUUAAGCACUCCGCCUGGGGAGUACGACCGCAAGGUUGAAACUCAAAGGAAUUGACGGGGGCCCGCACAAGCGG